CAUUAGUGAAGAUUUGGGCAGGCCAUACGGACGCCAAAAAGUGUCCCUGGCCGCCUACACCCACUAUACAUCCACAAACCCGUGUGCGCUGUCUUGGAGAAAGGCUUCAGAGAAGUUUUUUGUGGCCUCUCUUGGGGUCUUUCUUCGCUACAAACUCGAAUGGUUAGUAUGAACGUGGAACUUGGUUGGACCGUCACUGGCCAACAAACUAUACACAACUUUCGACAACGGAUCUCUUGGUUCUCCCAUCGAUGAAGAACGCAGCGAAACGCGAUAGGUAAUGUGAAUUGCAGAAUUCCGUGAAUCAUCGAAUCUUUGAACGCACCUUGCGCUCUAUGGCAAUCCGUAGAGCAUGCCUGUUUGAGUGCCAUGAAAUCUCCCACCCCAAGCGGUUUUUAAAUGAAACGGCUUGGCGGAUGGGGUCUGGAUGGGUGCCUCUGCCUGCGCUACCCUGCACAGGCUCGCCCGAAAUGCAUGAGCGCCUUGAGACACUUUGCAUCCGCCUCUCUGUUUGGGAGGAGGCGGCCAAGCAGUGUUUUUCUCCUGGCAUGGCAUGAUACGUCAUUUGCUAUGUCGCCUA
rnacentral:sRNA from 1 species